UGGGCUACUCAGCCAAGGAGAAGUGGCGGUGUACUUCAUCACAGCCUUCCGUUUUCGAAAACAUCAGUCAAUCCUUUGUUAAGUGAGCAUAAUGGACAUCAAUGACCCAACCAUGCCCAUAAUGGCCAUACAGUACAACAAGGCAUCCUCGUUGGUCUAUGUUGCAAAUGGGCUGCAGCACUUUCCAUGCUUUCAAGCCGAAGGACUUCACUCCGAGGGCAUACUCUACAAGCAAUAC